rnacentral:misc_RNA from 1 species
UGGAUGAUCUUUGGGAUGGCCACUAUAGGACUACGACGCCUCCUGCCGUUCAUUAACUUCUUUUAAUACAAUCUUCCGGUGGAAAAUCCCCUAAUUUUAAUUUGCAAUGCUUAAUUAAUUAAAUAAUUAUAAGAAAGGAAUAAUGAAGANNNNNNNNNNNUUUAAUAUCUGCAAGUGGAUCUGUCUGCUGGAGUUCUUUCCUGGAUUCUGCCAAGCUAGCUCCCUCAAUUGCUAUUGGCGAUAUCUUCUAUCUGCUCGCUGAAGUUCUGAUGUGAACCUUGCCUUGUAUGGACUUGUAAAUUGUUGCUUUUUUAGAUAAACUAUCCAUUUUCGUUUUUAUUCUAAAUAAG